rnacentral:rRNA from 1 species
GAUGAACGCUGGCGGCGUGCUUAACACAUGCGAGUCGAACGAAGCACUUUAUUUGAUUUCCUUCGGGACUGAUUAUUUUGUGACUGAGUGGCGGACGGGUGAGUAACGCGUGGGUAACCUGCCUUGUACAGGGGGAUAACAGUUGGAAACGGCUGCUAAUACCGCAUAAGCGCACGGCAUCGCAUGAUGCAGUGUGAAAAACUCCGGUGGUAUAAGAUGGACCCGCGUUGGAUUAGCUAGUUGGUGAGGUAACGGCCCACCAAGGCGACGAUCCAUAGCCGACCUGAGAGGGUGACCGGCCACAUUGGGACUGAGACACGGCCCAAACUCCUACGGGAGGCAGCAGUGGGGAAUAUUGCACAAUGGGCGAAAGCCUGAUGCAGCGACGCCGCGUGAGCGAAGAAGUAUUUCGGUAUGUAAAGCUCUAUCAGCAGGGAAGAUAAUGACGGUACCUGACUAAGAAGCACCGGCUAAAUACGUG